GAUGAACGCUGGCGGCAUGCCUAAUACAUGCAAGUCGAGCGAACGGACCGGAGGCUUUCUUUUCUGAUGUUAGCGGCGGACGGGAUAGUAACACGUGGAUAACCUACCUAUAAGACUGGGAGAACUUCGGGAAACCGGAGGUAAUACCGGAUAAUAUUUUGAACAACAUGGUUCAUCAGUUAAAUACGUUCUUGCUGUCACUUAUAGAUGGAUCCGCACCGCAUUAUAUAUGUGGUAAGGUAAGGGCUAACCAAGGCAACGAUGCAUAGCCGCCCUGACAGCGUGCAGGGGCAGACCGGAACGGAGACACGGUCCAGACUCCUACGGGAGGCAGCCGAAGGGAAUCUUCCACGCUGGGCGAAAGAAUGAUGGAGAAACGGCGAAUGAGUGACGAAGGUCUUCCGAUUGUAAAACGCUGUCAUUAGGGAAGAACACAUGUUUACGUAACGGUGAACAACAUGACGGUACCUAAUCAGAAAGCAACGGCUAACUACGUG
rnacentral:rRNA from 1 species